rnacentral:tRNA from 1 species
GCCGCAGUAGCUCAGUAGGUAGAGCGUUACCUUGGUAAGGUAAAGGUCCCGAGUUCAAUCCUCGGCUGUGGCU